CGAUAUAGAAGCGCGACAGUGGCUGGAAUACGGACGGAGUAGCUACACAAACUGUAACAUGAGUUUUUACAGUUGGAACGAGGAAGCGAAGAGCACACGGCUUGACCGAGAAAUUAACAUUGAGAAAAAUAAAAGGAACGCAUCAUCGACUUGGUCGCAAGCCGAAAGGUUGUUCUUCUGUUAUUGUGUUACGGUUUUUUUUCUUUUAUCUCAACACUCCAAAUCGCUGCUUGAACAAGAAUAAGAGGAAAAUAAUGUCUAUAUCCUGAUGAUUAAAAUGUAUGAUUUUGUAUUUUCAAAUCAGGAAUUUGAAUAUACAUUAUAAAUGAAUUUCAAAAUAUUGGCAAACUGCUGAAAUGAUAUAUAUAUAUAUAUACCCUCUUCUCUCCCUACCUUUUCGCGCUUUUCUCUCUCUCUCUCUAUCCCGCGCGUUUUUUUUAUAUACUUCAAUAUCUCAUAUCCAGAAACAGAGAGACGAUAAACGGGUAUGUAUCAAGUUCACAUCAAUAAAUAAGUCCUUGCCGAAUUGUCAACUAUAUAUAGUAUUAUGUUUAUUGUGAUACGAAAGUAUAUUUUUUGACCACACUUAUUUAUUGCGCGUGGCGAGAACGUGUGAUAUACACACGGCGCUGUGGUUAUACGAUCAUAUAUACGAAUAAUCCGAAUUCGUAAUUCUUUCAAAUAAAGCAGGUGGUGGAAUAAUAAGCGGGUAUAUAUAGGGGAAAAUGUGUGACACGUGUGCAAGGGCAUAUAUUGAUUAUCCAGUAAAAAUAUGCCCGAUUCCGGGCCGUUUUUUUUAAUGCUUGUUGUCGCCUAAAAAAUUUUCUUCUCCAAAAACGAAACUGACUUGACUUACCACGUACUUAUAUUAUUAUGUUUAUGUCUCAUCGGAUCAACGCUACGCGGAGGGAGUGCACGGAUCGCCGAUGGUACUGCCAUCACGAGAGAGGUCGAACAAAUUCUAUAUAUCGGCAAGAAAAUCCAAUAUAUAUGGCACGCGUACGUGAAAAUUUGAAAAAUUUCAAAAGCUCGUUCCAAAUGUUGUCUUAUACGCGCGUGAUUCGUGGUGUCUGUGAUAACAAAGAAUACAUAUGAUUAAAAUAUCGGAAGGACAAAAAAAAUGUAAGAUCCGUCGUUAUUUUCAUAAUAUUCCCAAAUACUUUGUCCCAAUGAGCAGAAUAGUACAAGAUGAGACGGAAGAAAAAAUACAAAGCGAGAAUGUUUAAUAGGAAUCUUUUCAACGGUUUUCGGGGUACUUCAAAAUCUUGAAUAAAUUUCAGGCUAACGCUUUUUCAUUUAUUUUGUACAUACUUCAAACCUGGAACAAUAUUUAAUCAUAGUACUUUUUUGUCUUCCCGGAAUUAGCGAACCAUUCAUUUUUAUCAUUAUCACGGAGACAAAUAGCAAAGCGAGAUGUAACAUUCGUUUUUUCAUGAUCACUAUUAUUAAUAUUUAUAUAAUUAUCGACAGUGACUGUUGGAAGUAGUUUGUUAAACGAUGAUGAUACAAUAUACGAUUAGUCGUGUGAAAAAGUUCUGAUACAGGCCACUCUCGUUAUACAAUUACACCUAAACGUUUGUUUCUUUUCUAUUGAUUUUCUUCAUAUUUUUUCUAUCCAGUUUUUUUAGAAAUUAAAUAAUACAUCAUCAGGGCACGGGUGAGGUUUGCUGAAUCGCGAAGAAUAUCAACCACUGUUAAUGAGAAACAAAAAACCAACAGGAUAUUGAGUAUUGCUUUGCGAUUGUGUACGUUUAAAAAGAUUCUCCACGCGCGCUACCAACAUUUUCAGCUAAACAUCUCUCCGCACGCGAUGUAGUAGUGAAGAAUUAUGAUCGUCUCGGUACUUGGCGACACGUGCUACUAUACAACACACACACACACACACACACACACACACACACACAGCUCAAGCGCUCUCUCUCUCUCUCUCUCUCUCUCGCUUGCUUUUAAUUUUCUGUAAUUUUACAAUAAGACGAUUGUGAACUACCUUAAUUAUCAUAUAAUAAGACUAUGUAAUAAAAUUAACAAUGAAUUUCACUCAUUAUACGAACUGCAAACGUUCGCGUGAAAACUACUGCAUACGGAUAAA